rnacentral:rRNA from 1 species
GACGAACGCUGGCGGCGUGCUUAACACAUGCAAGUCGAACGGAAAGGCCCUGCUUUUGUGGGGUGCUCGAGUGGCGAACGGGUGAGUAACACGUGAGUAACCUGCCCUUGACUUUGGGAUAACUUCAGGAAACUGGGGCUAAUACCGGAUAGGAGCUCCUGCUGCAUGGUGGGGGUUGGAAAGUUUCGGCGGUUGGGGAUGGACUCGCGGCUUAUCAGCUUGUUGUUGGGGUAGUGGCUUACCAAGGCUUUGACGGGUAGCCGGCCUGAGAGGGUGACCGGCCACAUUGGGACUGAGAUACGGCCCAGACUCCUACGGGAGGCAGAAGUGGGGAAUAUUGCACAAUGGGCGGAAGCCUGAUGCAGCAACGCCGCGUGCGGGAUGACGGCCUUCGGGUUGUAAACCGCUUUCGCCUGUGACGAAGCGUGAGUGACGGUAAUGUGUAAAGAAGCACCGGCUAACUACGUG